CGUAUGUCCAUGCACCUGCUUAGCAGUUUUUGAUACAUCGAAAGGUUGAGUUAAUAGGGUUGCUAGAGUCCCACUAAUUCCUCCGCUCACAAAAUUGAUAUAGAGGUCCUUUGUAGAUUGAGAGCUGGAAAAUGCUUGAAGUGAUGGAUGCCCAAGCAGGAAGAGUCGAAUUCUCUCAUACGACCACCAGUAAAAUGCACUGAAUGGUACAUCUCUCCACAACGUUACGCUGACACCGCUCCAUAAAUUCAGUAUACCUUUUUGAUGAAUCAUUAAUUUCAAUCCAUCAAAGACCUCAUUAGCAAUCUCGCGCGCAUGGCCGGGCGGAUAAUGGCCGCCUACUGCUUGCACUCGAGUCCUGAAUAAUUCUAUAGGAGACACAAUAGUAGCAGAUAUUGUGCGCGCAGAUGCUCCUGCGAUUGCAGCAGCAGCAGGAAAGCCCCAAUCACUGUAUAAGGGAAGUAAUUGCUCAUACCCAAGAAACUGUACAGUGUUUGCUGGCAAGAGCAUUGUCAAUGAAGGAACUAAUCCACGCCACAAGCUUCUAACACCUUCAUGCCGAGCGAUCUGAUAAAGUCCGGAUACCGGGCCUCCUAAAGGCUUUGGA